rnacentral:rRNA from 1 species
UCCUACGGGGGGCAGCAGUGAGGAAUAUUGGUCAAUGGGCGAGAGCCUGAACCAGCCAAGUCGCGUGAAGGAUGACGGCCCUAUGGGUUGUAAACUUCUUUUGUCAGGGAGCAAUUGGGUCCACGCGUGGGCUUAGCGAGAGUACCUGAAGAAAAAGCAUCGGCUAACUCCGUGCCAGCAGCCGCGGUAAUACGGAGGAUGCGAGCGUUAUCCGAAUUUAUUGGGUUUAAAGGGUGCGUAGGCGGACAGUCAAGUCAGCGGUAAAAAUGCGGUGCUCAACGCCGUACAGCCGUUGAAACUGGCAG